rnacentral:lncRNA from 1 species
CAACUUUUGAAACCCGGGCAAUCUGGCUUUGGCAUUUGAAAACCAUUUCAAACAGGUCACACGCGCUCUUACACACACCCGCAUCCUUAAACUUUGGGACCAACUUUUUAGGACACGGGAAACUACAGGCAAGAGAGAGAAGCCAUGGUGCUAGUGUGGGUUCAGGAGAGAUUCCAAGAAAUGAGGGGGGUACGUUGAAACGAUGAAGAAAGGAUGGACACAGCAGUCGAGGUUGAGAGGAUUCCAGGUGUCACCACAGCAGCUGAGAAAGGAAAGAACUUGGAAUUUAGCAUACGUCAGGUUUUAGAUGUGGAAAAGCCCCAAAAGAAGGAGUAGUACCUGUGUGAGGAACGCUGGAAAAUAACUGCAG